AUUGAACGCUGGCGGAAUGCUUUACACAUGCAAGUCGAACGGCAGCACGGGGCAACCUGGUGGCGAGUGGCGAACGGGUGAGUAAUACAUCGGAACGUGCCCAAUCGUGGGGGAUAACGUAGCGAAAGUUACGCUAAUACCGCAUACGAUCUACGGAUGAAAGCGGGGGAUCGCAAGACCUCGCGCGAAUGGAGCGGCCGAUGUCAGGUUAGGUAGCUGGUGGGGUAAAGGCUCACCAAGCCGACGAUCUGUAGCUGGUCUGAGAGGACGACCAGCCACACUGGGACUGAGACACGGCCCAGACUCCUACGGGAGGCAGCAGUGGGGAAUUUUGGACAAUGGGCGCAAGCCUGAUCCAGCCAUUCCGCGUGCAGGAUGAAGGCCUUCGGGUUGUAAACUGCUUUUGUACGGAACGAAACGGCGAGCUCUAAUAUAGUUUGCUAAUGACGGUACCGUAAGAAUAAGCACCGGCUAACUACGUGCCAGCCGCCGCCGUAAAAC
rnacentral:rRNA from 1 species